UACGGGGGGGGCAAGCGUUGUUCGGAUUCAUUGGGCGUAAAGGGUGCGUAGGCGGCGCGGUAAGUCGGGUGUGAAAGUCAAGGGCUCAACCCUUGGAUGCCGGUGGAUACUGCAGGGCUAGAGUCCGGAAGAGGCGAGUGGAAUUCCUGGUGUAGCGGUGAAAUGCGCAGAUAUCAGGAGGAACACCGAUGGCGAAGGCAGGUCUCUGGGCCACUACUGACGCUGAGAAGCGAAAGCAUGGGGAGCGAACAGG
rnacentral:rRNA from 1 species